rnacentral:rRNA from 1 species
CACGUAGGGGGCGAGCGUUGUCCGGAUUUAUUGGGCGUAAAGAGCUCGUAGGCGGCUCGGUAAGUCGGGUGUGAAAUUUCAGGGCUCAACCCUGAAAAGCCAUCCGAUACUGCUGUGGCUAGAGUCCGGUAGGGGAGUGGGGAAUUCCUGGUGUAGCGGUGAAAUGCGCAGAUAUCAGGAGGAACACCAGCGGCGAAGGCGCCACUCUGGCCCGAUACUGACGCUGAGGCACGAAAGCGUGGGGAGCAAACAGGAUAGAUACC